GCCUGGGUGGCUCAGUGGUUGAGCGUCUGCCUUCAGCUCAGAUCAUGAUCCCGGGCU
rnacentral:tRNA from 1 species